AGAAGGAAGAAGGAGCUGGAGCUGCUGAGGAAGAGCCUGAGCCUGGGAAAUACCAGAACCCCUUCCAGCCUCUAUCUGCUGUAAUCUCUGAGAAUGAAAAACAAAUGGAAAAGGAAAAGAAGAGGCAAAGGUUGGAGACUGAACAGGCUACAAUUGUCCUGAAAGCACAAACAGAGCAGGACCAGGUGGAUGCCCAGCACUUGUCAAGGAGCAGCAGCCAAAACACAACUGAGAGCAGCCUAGAAAUGUGCAAUUCUGCAACUGCCCAGCUUGUGCAGCACUCGGAAGAGAAUGAUCAGCAAGCCUCGGAAUGCCUUGACUCAGGUAAAACU